CAUUAAAUGGCUGAAAGUAAGCAUUGGUCUCUUAAACCAUUUUAUAAUAAUUUACAAAUAUUUUUAAUGA
rnacentral:tRNA from 1 species